rnacentral:misc_RNA from 1 species
UUUCAAUACAAUUACUUGAGUGAAAAUUGUGCAAAGCACUGUGGAAAAGCAAAUACCGAAGAAUGAGAAUCACAGAUACACUUGCCAUAUGCUUUGUUGAAAUCAUGAUAACACUGAUGUUCAGCUUAUGAACUCGAAUACUAUUUUCCCUGUCCUCUGGUUUUGAUCGAGAACCAUUACUCUAUGCCAGCUAAACAUUGAUUAGAAUUUUAAAAGCAAAAUCACAUGUAAAAAUUCCAAUUCCCCACCCUUCUUUUCCCCAUUAUCCUCCAUCCGUCUUGGUCACUACAAAACCAACAUCACAUGUUAAGAUGAUACUAAAUAAAAAAUUAGCAUGCCCGAUGAACAGCAGACCUCCUGAUUCCAUCUAAUAUUCACAUCAAUUUACUGGAUAAUUUGAUCAGAGCCAUGAAUGCAUGCAAAUCCUCUCCAUUCUCCUCUAUUGUCAACUUUCAUCUUGCCGUGAUACACUAAUCCCUUCAUCACUCAUCUUGAGAUGCUCUGAUUUUGUAAUAAGCCUCAUGUACUGGUCACGUGCUACAGGGUCUCGAACCAUGGACUUGACCCUUGCUAGUGCCUUUUCAACUCCAGCAAAUUUCUGUUUGCGGCCAAUCCUCAGAAACUCGUACUCAUUAGUUUUUUCAGUUUCCUGUAUCACAUCUCCAGAAAGCUUUUCCACCUGAAACCCUCGCAAACCAGGUCUUUUCCGCCUCCAACGCAGUAUUGCUUUUUCAACAAUACUAACAGACCAAAUAACUUUUUUAUACUGCCUGCGUACUCGGUGUCCCCUCACAUGAGCCUGAAUUUUUACAAUUCGAUUACGUAUCUUCAAAAAUUCUUUUCUUCUCUUCCAGCCGCGAUACUUUUGUUGGAUCCUUACAGCUGCAGAAUGCAAAUAAUCUUCAAAAUGACUCCUCGACUGAUCUUUUUUCAAAGGACCAAGAGCAGCCAGGUCAAGUGAAACUUCAGAAUCAUCACUGCUCUUAGGAAAUUGUCUAUAACGGAAAGAAUAAGAGCGGUACGCAGCUUGAAUAAGAGCUGCUGCAAUAGUUGAUUUUCUGACAGCAGCAAGAGAUUCUUUCAAGGAAAACUGAUCAUCUGCUCCACCACUCAAUGGAAAGGCAACUUGGGCUGCAGUCUCAGUAGCCUUUUCUGCUGAAAUGGUUGCAUCAACAGUAUCUGUCACAUUUUCUUUGAUAUUUAAUGAGGAAAGGUGACCAGUUAAAAAUGCUUCAGCCAAGAACCCAGCUAUUCCUUUAUGUCCUUGGCUUGAUGCUAAAUCAGCUGCAAUUUUUCCUCCAGGAAAUGUUGGGGUUGGAUCAUCAACAGCAGUUGGAUCCACACCCAACCUAACAAGUGCGAUGACAGUUUCUUCUCUGAGGUAAGAGAGCAGAAACAGGGAUAAGAUGGUAAAAUUUUAGACACACUCAUACAAGACUUUAAGCAUUUAAAUCAAGAUAAAACUACCAAGGUCCACAAGAUUAUAGAACAAAAUCAAAUUCUCCAUGAUAAUAUUCACACAGUGAAAGAAGAAAUCAAUAACAAAAUAUAGCAGGUUGAGAAAUAGAAUUUUCUAACAGCAAGGAAACCAUAGAUAAUAGCGCAAUGGUAAUUACAUAGCAAAAAACUAUGGAACUACACAAUCUUAAACAUGAAUUAAAAAUUAAAAAAAAAAGAUUCAGCAUAGCAGUCUGACCUUCCAAAAUAUGAUGCCCAGUGGAGUGCUGUUCUUCCUUGUGCAUCCCUGAAAUUGGGAUUGUUACUGGCAGCAACUAUAAGACCCAUGGCCCAUUCAUAACCAAGACCAGCAGUCAAGUGUAUAACUCCUUGGCCUUCACCAUCCAACACAUCUGGUCCCUUACCCCCUCCAUGAACUUUACAGACCAGCCACUCACAAAGCCUGUCACUCAGCAAACUUUGGAUAAAUUUAUCCCUAGCAUCUGUGCAAUUGACUUCAGAGACCAUGCAACUCUCCCUGGCCCUUGCCAAUUCGUUACUUAUCUUAUUUCUCAUUGAAUAUAAGGUACUUCUUAGCUUACAUUUGUCGCAUCUGUCAAUGGAGCAAUUCAGCCAUUUCCUCUCCUGUCCCAAAUGUAGCAACUUUGCUAGACGCACUUGGAAGCGCAGUUCCUCCUCUUGCACACUGCUGGUAGACAUAGAUGCAACUCUUGAUGGAUUUUCACGGUAUUCAAAUUCCCUCACCUCACUGCAUGCUAACCUGUUACAACAAGUGACAUAGAAUGGGACCCGCCCAGUAGCAUGUAGAGGGGCCUGACAUCUGAUAACAUUAUCUGUUAGAACCUCAGCAGAAACUUCAAUUUCACCAAACAUACAGCCCCAUUUGGUUUCACUAGAAAACUUCUUGCUCCCUAAAAAUGUACCAAUGAUUAGAACCUUUGUUUCAACACCAGAAUAAGCCCAGUCUGGUGAGAAAUCUCGAAUGCUAAAUAACUGCUCCUGGGAAAGAGAAGGACCCAAUGAUUCAAUAUCUAACUGCAUAUGGUGUGACAAACUUGACACUUCCUUAUCAUCAUUCUCAGUAUCCAAUGUAUUCCAAUAAUUGCCAGAGUCAGAGGCCAUCAGAGAAUCAUCACAAUCUCCACCAAUUUCUUUAUCCAUCCAUCUUCCAAAACUGUCAAGUUUCUUUAGCUCUCCCAAUUCAUUAGUACUUGCACCACCAUCUUUGGGUUUGUUAUCUACUUGUGCAGUAGAAGCAGUUGUUCGAGAGCCAGAAUGAUUAACAAAAUGGGAAGGAAUCAAAUUAAAAUCAUGCUCCAGAAUUAAUCUCUGAGGAAUUGCUGCUAGUGCUUGAUCAUCUACAUUAUUGAUCAAUCUAUCUCCAGUAGCUACAGAAUCUGGAAUGUCACCAUCUAAUCUAGAAUCUGUUAAUUUACGAGUAAUAACAUCAGCUCCUCUAGGUUGUCCAACAUAAAAUUUUUGGUCAGGAACAUGAUAUGCAUAUUUGCUGGAGCCGGGAAUUUCAGUCCACAAAGAUGAUCCAGUGCUGUGAUCAAAUUUGACUCCAUUAAACCAUGAUCCAGGAGGUAAUCCUGAAAAGCAGCAGAAACCACAUUGCAUAUUUGAAGACCCAAAAAAUACUUUGGGAAACGCAUUAAAUGAGAAGUGACAAACACAAACCUUAGGAAUGUAUGAUGACGUUAACCUUAUAUUAUUCAUAAUUAGGUCCACAGCAAAAGAAAAAGGGAAAAAUAGGUCAAACGCUGAGGGACAAUAAUGUGAACCUCCAUAAACUAUAUGACAGAAGUUGCUUACAAAUAAAAUAACUCAGCUGAAAACCAUACCUUCAACUUCAUUUGCAAGUAAAGAAGCAUUACGUGACAAAGAACCAAUCAUUGGUUCUGUGAGAGAAGCUCCUACGUCAUCCCUAGAAUCAACAUCCUCAACUUCUGAAGAUAAUGUUUGGCCAUUCCAGUCAACUCUAUUUGGACUUGAUACAUAAGAUAUUUGAGCUGUAAAAGCAGGUGAGGCUGUUUGUGCAAUGGAAGCAGCAGAAAUGGGUUGAGGGCUAUCAACCUGGGUACUUCGAUCUGCUUGCAAAUAAGAAACACCAGACCUGUAGCCCUCCUUUACUUCUCUGUAGUGCACAAGGACAAUAUGCUCUAAUUUCCCAUCAAGCAUCCAGUAACAUCUCCGCUGAAAGCUGUCAUUGUCCUCCCCAUGGGCAUAGUAACAAUGAAGAACAUCCACACUGCCAGCCUUCAACUUUUCAUGAGCUUCUCUAACAGUUUUCCCAUCCUUUUUCUUCCUCCAUCGGUGACCAUCUUUACGAAAAUAUCGAAGUGCUUUUCUAUCAAACAGGAACAAAGAACCAGCUGAAAAACAAAUAUAAUUUAGUUGCUGUUUACAUGUACCAACAGGAUAAGUUGAAUAUCCAUCUCUGCAAGAGAAAUAGUAAUCCACAAGUUACAUUUGAUCACAAAGUCAAAAAUGAACAACUAUGAGUACAAGUGACUAAGCAACACUUGUUCUUAGUUUGUCUUAUGGAUAUAUUAGUUGACACCAUUCCAGAUCAUUCCAUCAAUCUCAAGUAACCGCAAGACUGCAAUUCCAAAUCGAAUAAAUUACACUUAAACCUAAGUUACAUAAAUGCAAAUAUAAUUAUGUGCCCACAUGACAUUGUUUUCAAGGAAAAGUAUUUCUCAUUCACAUGAACAAAGUAGCCCCCUUUUGCGCUCCAAGUGCCACUAAACUUUGGUAUUCUGCAAAAAUUUUGUCCCCUCAUGAAGUUGCUUAACAUGUUUCUUAAGGUCCAUAUUUUGCAAAAUGCUACCAUAUAAUGGCUCUUAAGGCUCAAGAGGGCCGACAUGGCAACAUCAUCCAAUUUAGCACCGCAUUAACAUAGUUAUGAGCCAGAAGCCCAUUAGAUACAAUUGAAACAAAAUCAUCACCUUAUGAAUCAAAUUGAUAGAACUGAAAGUAAAGGAUACAAUUAAAAUAUUCCACAAAGUUCAAGAAUUUUAUAGGCCAUUAUGCCUUAUUUUCAGCUGCAUGAAUGCAAAUAAAGAAAAUAAAUAAAGUAUGAUUUUGGUCAUUUAUAUUAAAUGAAUAAUCUUCUGCUUUAUAGCAUUGACAAUCCUUUCAACUGUAUCAGGGCAAAAAUUUUUCUCCACAAUCACCAUUCCACACUUCCACUAUCAUCAGCAAAGAAGGAAAAACAAAUGAGGUUGGGACAACAAAAAAACCAAAGCAACAACUAAUGAAAAUAUUGAGUCAUAUCAACACUACCAUCUACGUAUGAUGCAAAUAUAUAUUUAUCAACCACUUAUGAUUUAAAAAUUCAUACAAAAUUUAUUAGCCAAAAUAAUUAGAAAAGAAUUGCACAAGUAAAUGAAAACCUGAAGGCUGAUUGGGUGGCUCUGGAGUCAACUUAAACCUCUGGUAGUUACGAAGUAUUUCUAAUAUUUCAUUUGGCCGAAGCCAACGGUGUUUUGCUUCCUCCACUAUCUGCUCCAAUUCAAGUGGUUGAUUGGGAAGGUAUCUUCUCGUCUCAGCCAUUGACAUAAAACCUAAAUUUCAUGAGCGAAUCUCCGAUUAAAAUUGGAUAAACCUUCGAACGGGAAAAGAGAGAGGAGGAGAGCGUCUGAAAUCCACUGAAUUAAGGAGAGAGAAAGAGAAAGAGCGCUUAUGUAAUCAAAGUCAAUGCCUGAUGGGUUUGCGUCCAUACUAUAUCAAAAGAGAGGACGCGAUAUAUGUAUGUGCAUGUGG